UGCCCGAGGAGAGGAGAGAGUGACUGAGAGAGAAAAAUGGAGUUUCAUUGAUCCAUGUGCUUUUCCCUCUUUUUUGCCCUGGGACACGGCCCAUUGUCAUGACUGAACCUGACUUUCAUUAUCUCAAGGGGGAAUAGAGAGCUAAGUUGUCAAAUUUUUGCCUUUUCAAGUUUCAUCAACAUCAUCUAAGGAAAUUUUUGUUUUUGUUUUUUAUUUCAGUAGCACCCAUCAUUAAUUCCACCUUCUGAGCACCACGAGCACACUCCAUAUAGAUCUGAUCAGGGAAGGAGGAGGAAUAAAGGACCCCCUGAGAUGGAGUCCUGGAAUUGGAGAGGUCUGAGAAUCUAAAAGAAAGACAAAACUAUCUCAAGGUAAUAAACUUGCCUGUACUUCAAGCA
rnacentral:lncRNA from 12 species